rnacentral:tRNA from 1 species
GCGGGGGUGGAGCAGCUCUGGUAGCUCGUCGGGCUCAUAACCCGAAGGUCGUCGGUUCAAAUCCGGCCCCCCGCA